rnacentral:rRNA from 1 species
GAUGAACGCUGGCGGCGUGCCUAAUACAUGCAAGUCGAGCGAACAGAUGAGGAGCUUGCUCCUCUGACGUUAGCGGCGGACGGGUGAGUAACACGUGGAUAACCUACCUAUAAGACUGGGAUAACUUCGGGAAACCGGAGCUAAUACCGGAUAAUAUAUUGAACCGCAUGGUUCAAUAGUGAAAGACGGUUUUGCUCUCACUUAUAGAUGGAUCCGCGCCGCAUUAGCUAGUUGGUAAGGUAACGGCUUACCAAGGCAAGGAUGCGUAGCCGACCUGAGAGGGUGAUCGGCCACACUGGAACUGAGACACGGUCCAGACUCCUACGGGAGGCAGCAGUAGGGAAUCUUCCGCAAUGGGCGAAAGCCUGACGGAGCAACGCCGCGUGAGUGAUGAAGGUCUUCGGAUCGUAAAACUCUGUUAUUAGGGAAGAACAAAUGUGUAAGUAACUAUGCACGUCUUGACGGUACCUAAUCAGAAAGCCACGGCUAACUACGUG